rnacentral:ncRNA from 1 species
CCGUGAGUAGUGGCGAGCGAAGCGGACGAGGCUGAACCGGGGUGUGUGACAGCCGGCGGGCGUUGCACCCUCGGGGUCGUGGGACCUGCUGACCAGCUCUGCCGGGCUGGGGAGUGAGAAGUCGCGGUGUAGUCGAACGGUCUGGGAAGGCCGGGCACAGUGGGUGAGACCCCCGUAGACGAAACGUCGUGGCCUCCUUGCAGGGAUCCCGAGUAGCACGGGGCCCGUGAAAUCCCGUGUGAAUCUGCCAAGACCACUUGGUAAGCCUAAAUACUACCUGGUGACCGAUAGCGGACAAGUACCGUGAGGGAAAGGUGAAAAGUACCCCGGGAGGGGAGUGAAAUAGUACCUGAAACCGGAUGCUUACAAUCCGUCGGAGCCUCCAUGGCUGGGGUGACGGCGUGCCUUUUGAAGAAUGAGCCUGCGAGUUAGUGGCAUGUGGCGAGGUUAACCCGGGUGGGGAAGCCGUAGCGAAAGCGAGUCCGAACAGG